rnacentral:rRNA from 1 species
AAACCAACGGGGAUUACCUCAGUAACGGCGAGUGAAGCGGUAACAGCUCAAAUUUGAAAUCUGGGUCUUUCAGGCUCCGAGUUGUAAUUUGUAGAAGAUGCUUCGGGUGCGGCUCCGGUCUAAGUUCCUUGGAACAGGACGUCAUAGAGGGUGAGAAUCCCGUAUGUGAUCGGUUGCUUGCGCCCAUGUGAAGCUCUUUCGACGAGUCGAGGUGUUUGGGAAUGCAGCUCAAAAUGGGUGGUAAAUUUCAUCUAAAGCUAAAUAUUGGCCAGAGACCGAUAGCGCACAAGUAGAGUGAUCGAAAGAUGAAAAGCACUUUGGAAAGAGAGUUAAACAGUACGUGAAAUUGUUGAAAGGGAAGCGCUUGCAACCAGACUUGCGCGUUGCCGAUCAUCCGGGGUUCUCCCCGGUGCACUCGGCCUCGCUCAGGCCAGCAUCGGUUUUGGUGGUGGGAUAAAGGCCUUGGGAAUGUAGCUCCUUUCGGGGAGUGUUAUAGCCCUCGGUGCAAUGCCGCCUACCGGGACCGAGGACCGCGCUUCGGCUAGGAUGCUGGCGUAAUGGUUGUAAGCGAC